GCUUCGAUGUGGACCAAUGUUCAAGGUUUAAGGAAGCGGUUAAAGGAAACGGGAAGAUUAGAGCUUUACCCAUUGCAUUUGAGGUUGGAAUAGAAGGAAAUUUGGAUUACAAAGCUAUUAUUGAUGGAGUCGGGAAAGGUAGUCGCCUUGGUCCCCUUGGAACAUGAGCUUCCUCAGUCCUGUGUUCCAAACCAGCAGGGAGUGUCCGUGGCAACGCAUGAAAGAGGCCUCUCCACAGCUUUCUGAGGACGGUCCUUGGGUUUGUAAGACGGUGGCAGGAGCAGUGGCGUGUGUUCCUGUUCAGUCAUCGCAAUCACACUGCCAAUAGUGUAUACUCUCCAGGGCCAUCCACGUUGCACAAAAGUAAGAUUUCUUUCUUUUUAAUGGCCACAUAGUAUUCCAUUGUGUAAAUGUACGGC